GGCCGCAUGGCCUAAUGGAUAAGGCGUCUGACUUCGAAUCAGAAGUUUGGGGGUUCGAAUCCCUCUGUGGUCG